UACAGAGGGGGCAAGCGUUAUUCGGAAUUAUUGGGCGUAAAGGGCGCGUAGGCGGCCGUGCAAGUGGAAGGUGAAAUCCCUCGGCUCAACCGAGGAACUGCCUUUCAAACUGCAUGGCUUGAGUCCGGGAGAGGUGAGUGGAAUUCCCAGUGUAGCGGUGAAAUGCGUAGAUAUUGGGAGGAACACCAGUGGCGAAGGCGGCUCACUGGACCGGAACUGACGCUGAGGCGCGAAAGCGUGGGAGCAAACGGG
rnacentral:rRNA from 1 species